rnacentral:rRNA from 1 species
UACGAAGGGGGCUAGCGUUGCUCGGAAUCACUGGGCGUAAAGCGCACGUAGGCGGACUCUUAAGUCGGUGGUGAAAUCCUGGAGCUCAACUCCAGAACUGCCUUCGAUACUGGGAGUCUCGAGUUCGGGAGAGGUGAGUGGAACUGCGAGUGUAGAGGUGAAAUUCGUAGAUAUUCGGAAGAACACCAGUGGCGAAGGCGGCUCACUGGACCGGCAUUGACGCUGAGGUGCGAAAAGCGUGGGGAGCAAACAGGG